rnacentral:rRNA from 1 species
AGAGUUGAUCAUGGCUCAGGACGAACGCUGGCGGCGUGCUUAACACAUGCAAGUCGAACGGGAGUAUUGAAGAAGCUUGCUUAGAGAUACUUUAGUGGCGGACGGGUGAGUAACGCGUGAGGAGCUGUCCUAUGCAGGGGGACAACAGCUGGAAACGACUGCUAAUACCCCAUAAGCCGAGAGGUAAAAGGAUCAAUCCGGCAGAGGAGGUACUCGCGUCCUAUCAGCUAGUAGGUGAGGUAACGGCUCACCUAGGCGAAGACGGGUAGCCGGCCUGAGAGGGCGAACGGCCACACUGGAACUGAGAUACGGUCCAGACUCCUACGGGGGGCAGCAGUGGGGAAUAUUGGGCAAUGGGGGAAACCCUGACCCAGCGACGUCGCGUGGGUGAAGAAAUCCUUCGGGAUGUAAAGCCCUGUUGUAUGGGAAGAGCGGAAGACGGUACCAUACGAGGAAGCCCCGGCAAACUACGUGCCAGCAGCCGC